GACGAACGCUGGCGGCGUGCUUAACACAUGCAAGUCACGGGGGCCCGCAAGGGUAACCGGCGAACGGGUGCGUAACACGUGAGCAAUCUGCCGUACACUGGGGGAUAGCCGGCCCAACGGCCGGGUAAUACCGCAUACGUUCUUCGGGCGGCAUCGCUUGAAGAAGAAACCUCCGGGGGUGUACGAGGAGCUCGCGGCCUAUCAGGUAGUUGGUGGGGUCACGGCCUACCAAGCCAUUGACGGGUAGCUGGUCUGAGAGGAUGGCCAGCCACAUUGGGACUGAGAUACGGCCCAGAGUCCUACGGGAGGCAGCAGUGGGGAAUAUUGCGCAAUGGCCGCAAGGCUGACGCAGCGACGCCGCGUGGGGGAUGAAGCAUUUCGGUGUGUAAACCCCUGUUGCUCGGGACGAACAACGAGUUUCGACUCGUCUGACGGUACCGGGUGAGGAAGCACCGGCUAACUCCGUGCCAGCAGCCGCAGUAAUAC
rnacentral:rRNA from 1 species